rnacentral:ncRNA from 1 species
CCUGUGGAGUGUUUACAUCAAACCAAAGUAGCUCCGGCAAAAUGGGACACUGUGAAGCAGGAA